rnacentral:lncRNA from 1 species
GCACGGAUGGGUACGACGGCGAGCCGGCGAUGGCGGCAGGCUGGCGCAAGGCUCGGAGCUGCGAUGCGGAGGGACGUGACGUAGAAUAUCGCUGUUGUGGGCAGGACUAGGAGCACGCCGGGGCGGGAGUGCAGGGAGGCAGCCGAAGACCAAGACGAGGAGCAUGGCCGUGCAGAGGAGAUGAUUGCCACACCAAACAGCCGGCGCUUAGAGUAAUCUUUUACUCCCUCGAUCACUCUCUUGUAUGUCUAGUAUUCCUGUACGAUGGGUGUGCAGCAUAUGUGAGGUUCAUAAAUUUGUACGAAGUACUCAUGUAGUUCAGUUUACAGUAACAAUUAGAGCAGAGACUUGCAGAGUUAGGUAAUUUCCACUUGUUACUAGUUGAUUCACAAUUCGUUUUUUUACAUGGCAUGAUCUGUAAAUAUGCAUGUUAAUUAGUAAUUAGGCAUUGCCACAUCACUGAAUUUCAAUCUAGAGGACUAUGAAUGUUUAAGAUUCAUUAGAACCUUAUAGUAAUUUUGACAGGUCUAUCUUUUUCCCUAACAGAAGAUAGAUAGAAAAAUAAUUUUGGGUUGGUAGUUACCAUUCACUACAACUUAGAGAUCACAUUAUUUCCAAAUCUGUAUAGUUUAUUAUUUUGACUGAAACUGUACAGUCUAGAUAUUAUGUACCUUGGCUCACUUUACCUGCUCAUGAUGGAGCACAAGGCCCUAUUGUGGCUAGCCCUGGAAUUCUACUUUUAAAUGUUGCAAACUUGCAAUGUUUAUUCUGUUUAUUUUCAUCAUUCUAAUAGUUGUGAUUUUGCUAUGUUCACUUCAAGGAAUAGUAUGAUUUCAUCAUAACUGAAGUCUAGAAGGUGAUGCCUAGAACGUCGAGGUGAAGAAUGGAAGAUGGUGCCUAGAACAUUGAGGUGAAUAAUGCAAGAUGGUGCAUCGCUGUACCGUGAUUACUUUAUAAUGUGCUAUGCCAUUUUGUGAGAAACCAAGAUUUAAAAAUGAUGUUAUGUUAUUGCUAUUUUAUUUCAUGAGGAUUGAGAAUUGUGUACUUAUGUUUAUUUCAUGUUAUGCCAUUUUGUGAUAAUAAGAGAUAUUAUUUGG